rnacentral:snoRNA from 1 species
AUCUGAUGAUGAGGACAACUAGCAAACAAUCUCUUAAACCUCUCCCAGUACUCAUACAGGCUCUCACCAUGUUGUUGGCUAAUUCCAGAUAUGUCCUUUCUGAUU